GAUGAACGCUAGCGGCAGGCUUAAUACAUGCAAGUCGAGGGACAGCACAGGCAGCAAUACUGGGUGGUAACCGGCAAACGGGUGCGGAACACGUACACAACCUUCCUUUAAGUGGGGGAUAGCCCAGAGAAAUUUGGAUUAAUACCCCGUAAUAUAGUUGAAUGGCAUCAUUUGAUUAUUAUAGCUACGGCGCUUAAUGAUGGGUGUGCGGCUGAUUAGAUAGUUGGCGGGGUAACGGCCCACCAAGUCUACGAUCAGUAGCUGAUGUGAGAGGAUGAUCAGCCACACGGGCACUGAGACACGGGCCCGACUCCUACGGGAGGCAGCAGUAAGGAAUAUUGGUCAAUGGACGCAAGUCUGAACCAGCCAUGCCGCGUGAAGGAUUAAGGUCCUCUGGAUUGUAAACUUCUUUUAUUUGGGACGAAAAAGGGCCUUUCUAGGUCAACUGACGGUACCAGAUGAAUAAGCACCGGCUAACUCCGUGCCAGCAGCCGCAGUAACAC
rnacentral:rRNA from 1 species